rnacentral:rRNA from 1 species
UACGUAGGUGGCAAGCGUUGUCCGGAUUUACUGGGCGUAAAGAGCGCGCAGGCGGUCGUUCAAGUCGCGUGUGAAAGCCCCCGGCUCAACUGGGGAGGGUCACGCGAUACUGAUCGACUCGAAGGCAGGAGAGGGUAGUGGAAUUCCCGGUGUAGUGGUGAAAUGCGUAGAUAUCGGGAGGACCACCAGUGGCGAAGGCGACUACCUGGACUGUUUCUUGACGCUGAGGCGCGAAAGCUAGGGGAGCAAACGGG